rnacentral:rRNA from 1 species
CCUACGGGAGGCAGCAGUAGGGAAUAUUGGGCAAUGGGCGAGAGCCUGACCCAGCCAUGCCGCGUGCCGGAUGAAGGCCUUCUGGGUUGUAAACGGCUUUUCUCAGGGAAGAAAAGGUGAUGCGUCACAAACUGACGGUACCUGAGGAAUAAGCACCGGCUAACUCCGUGCCAGCAGCCGCGGUAAUACGGAGGGUGCAAGCGUUGUCCGGAUUUAUUGGGUUUAAAGGGUGCGUAGGUGGCCCGUUAAGUCCGGGGUGAAAGCCCACAGCUCAACUGUGGAACUGCCCUGGAUACUGGCGGGCUUGAGUCCAGACGAGGUUGGCGGAAUGGAAGAUGUAGCGGUGAAAUGCAUAGAUAUCUUCCAGAACCCCGAUUGCGUAGGCAGCUGACUAGGCUGGUACUGACACUGAGGCACGAAAGCGUGGGGAGCGAACAGGAUUAGAUACCCUGGUAGUCCACGCCGUAAACGAUGGAUACUCGCUGGUGGCAAUAGACCGUCACUGCUAGNGAAGACGUAGUAUCCACCNCGGGAGGUACGCGUCGCAGAGAGAACGACGAAAGGAAGUUAGACGGCGUGAGACGUGACCGAACGGACGACGACGAGGGAGGUUAGG